AUUGCUUGAAAUGCUCAAUUGUUGAAAUACAAUUUAACAAAGACUUUUAGUAUGGGGGAAAUGCCUGCUUGAUUUCCUUUUCUUUUUGGCUUUGGUUUGGGUUGUUUUCUGUGGUUUACUUUCUUUAUUCCCUUUUUCAUGUGAAUCCACAAAGAAGCAGCAAUCAGAAUUCCACUGAUCUUCUCAGCUGGUUCAAUCCCUGAUGAGAGCAUCCCAGCAACCAGCUAGUUCAGGUUCUUCUGCUGAGCCCUUGGCCACUUGCACAUACUUAUUGCCAGAAGUGAGCAGGAGCCCAGUCCCACUUGGGACUGUCACAAGUACAAGUCCUUCUGGGAUAUCUUAUUUAAAGAAGCAGAAGUUGGUUCUUGGAUGAUGAUCCACUGAAGAUCAUGGCAAACCACUUGCUCGCCUGGAAACUGCUUUUUAUCAUUUCUUUUGAGUAUGAGAAGCAAGGUCU